UCGGCGAGACAAGUGCUGAGCAACGAAUGAGCUUGUAAGUCGUGAGUAUACGCACCAGUCGUGUAGGAGCAACGGCCGGUGUCGGUCGUAUAUUACCAGUGGCGCGAUACACUGGCCGAGCGCACCGGUCGCAUCCAAAUCGGUAAAUCGGGUCCGCCGUACGUGUAAAACGUGAACGAUCCGAAAGUGGAAAAAAAAGGUCC